GACGAACGCUGGCGGCGUGCUUAACACAUGCAAGUCGAACGAUGAUGCCCAGCUUGCUGGGUGGAUUAGUGGCGAACGGGUGAGUAACACGUGAGUAACCUGCCCCUGACUCUGGGAUAAGCGUUGGAAACGACGUCUAAUACUGGAUAUGACUGCCGGCCGCAUGGUCUGGUGGUGGAAAGAUUUUUUGGUUGGGGAUGGACUCGCGGCCUAUCAGCUUGUGGGUGAGGUAAUGGCUCACCAAGGGGACGACGGGUAGCCGGCCUGAGAGGGUGACCGGCCACACUGGGACUGAGACACGGCCCAGACUCCUACGGGAGGCAGCAGUGGGGAAUAUUGCACAAUGGGCGAAAGCCUGAUGCAGCAACGCCGCGUGAGGGAUGACGGCCUUCGGGUUGUAAACCUCUUUUAGUAGGGAAGAAGCGAAAGUGACGGUACCUGCAGAAAAAGCACCGGCUAACUACGUNCCAGCAGCCGCCGCGG
rnacentral:rRNA from 1 species